GAUGAAGAACGCAGCGAAAUGCGAUAAGUAAUGUGAAUUGCAGAAUUCAGUGAAUCAUCGAAUCUUUGAACGCACAUUGCGCCCCUUGGUAUUCCGAGGGGCAUGCCUGUUUGAGCGUCAUUAUAACCCCUCAAGCUCAGCUUGGUGUUGGGGCCUGCUGCACUGGCAGCCCUUAAAAUCAGUGGCGGCGCCAUCUGGCUCUAAGCGUAGUAAUUCUUCUCGCUAUGGAGUCCUGGUGGAUGCUUGCCAUCAACCCCCAAUUUUUCUAUGGUUGACCUCGGAUCAGGUAGGGAUACCCGCUGAACUUAAGCAUAUCAAUAAGCGGAGGA
rnacentral:misc_RNA from 1 species